UUUCUCGAGGCGGCAGAGCCCGUCCAGCCCGGGGGCGGCGGGCUUCCGGGACCGCAAUUCCCGGCAGGGAGCACGCCCUCCUGCGCCGGCGGCCGGGCCGGGAGGGUACCGGGGGCUUCGGCGCCGUCGGGGCAGAGCCCGCGGGGUUCGGGGAGUGGGGGGGGGGGGGGGAGGGGGCUGUGCACCCCGUGCCUCGCUCGCUUUCCCUGACUCCCCUUCUCUCGCCGUGCAGCUGCGGCGCCGAGGGGUCGGUGCUGGGUGCACAGUCUCCAUCACUCACCGUCGAGGCUCGGGGGAAUGAUGAAAACAUACCAGUUGUGCAGGAGGAACGACUUUGCCCGGCCCUGAGCCACAGUAGAUGAAGUUUCUCUUCGGUCCUCAUAAAGGAGACGCUGUGAUGUAGUGAACAGCAUCCCCAGCAGUUUGCCUGCCACGAAGACAAUGGUGGAGAGUAAAUUCAGGAAAUUCAUCUUGGUUGACAACAAAAGUCCACUACAUGUAUUUGGAAUAAAUGGAUGAGCUUCUCCUUGGCGUCCAGCCUGAGGUUAAACCUUUCGCUGUGAAGGUGUUCCUUGCCAUGUGGAUGUGCUACAGUGGUGAACACGUAUGUGUGUGCAAAUUUUCUAUCCACCGAUGGUGCACAUUUCUUACAGUACUAAAAACUGGUCCUUCAGAAGACCUUUACAAAUGUGUAUUUCUGUAAGUACUAUUUUAUAGCAGGGAAACUUUGGGUUGCUUUAUGGCAGAGAAAUGAAUCAGCCUGUAAAUUA